UUGACACAUUCUGUUCAUUCAUGCUGUUUAUAAUGGAAUAUUCACAUGUGCUUAUUAACAAAAACAAGAUAAAGAGAGAGUGAUAAAGAAAAUGAAAGCGAAAAUAAGAACAAAAGAUGCAGGACAAUAGACAGGCAUUGAGAGGAAGAGCAUUUGGCAGUCUACCCAGUCAAAACCUCAGUAAAUUAUUUAUCAGUAAUUUAUGAAUUAUUCAACUAACCAUUAAUUAUUAUCUUUGUAUAGCUGAGCUGACAUGGUUUAUAGUAUAGUUGCAGUUUAUAUAGGUGGUGGGAUUUAUCAUAAUUAAUAUUUAUGAAAUAGUACCAUAAAGAAAUAGUCCACCUAAAACUAUCUUUGAAUGUUUCUUCAGGUGGAUUGACAUGAGGAUGUUCAUUUUCCUCAACCCAAGAUAUUUUUAAUUAACAUCUAAUUAAACAAGCCCAUUAUCAAGCACACCCCAUGACUAAGGCAGUGAUAAAACUGUUUAUCUUUUAUGUAUGCAGCUUUUAGAGUUUGGCUUGACUAGAAAUGUUUUAACACUGGCAGGUGUUUUAUAAUACAGCAUAUUUGCUACCAUUACUAUUCAGUAUUUUACAUAUAUUAUUAUAUUUGUAAAAAAAAUGUCUUUAAAAAUAUUGACUUUGGAUGCUAUAUACAAACCAAAAAUGAUUCAGACUCCAGAUAUAUUUUUUUAUAUUUGUUUACUAGUGGAUGCAGGACACUACAGUCAUGGCCAAAAGUUUUGGCAGUGACAUACAUUUUUGCAAAGUUUUGCAAAGUUUGCUGCUUCAGUAUUUUUAGAUUAUUUUUACACGUAUUUCUAUGGUAUACUGGAAAACAAUGAUAAGCAUAUCAUACGUUUUAAAGGCCAUGGUAAAAAAAUAUGGCAAUGGGCAAAAAAUAAAUAAUGAGUUAAUAUUUACACUGUAGACAUUUGUUCUUCAUAACCUCUGCAAUUCGCUCUGGCAUGCUGGAUGGCGUUCCAUUCUUGUCUUAUUAGUUCUCAGAGUUGAUCACAGUUUGUGGGCUUCUGCUUGUCCACUCGCCUUUUGAGGACUGACCACAGGUUCUCUAUGGGAUUGAGAUCCAGGGAGUUGUCUGGCCAUGAUUCCAAAAUUUCAGUGUAAUGAUCCCCGAGCCACUUUUUUUAUCACUCUUGCUUUGUGACAUGGUGCUCCAUCAUGUUGGAAAAUGCACAGAUCAUCACCAAACUGCUCAUGGAUCGUUGGAAGAAGUCGCUCUUGCAGAAUGUUUUGAUACCAUUCUUUAGUCAAGACAGUAUUUUUGGGCAGAAUUAUGAGAGAGCCCACUCCCUUGGUUGAAAAGCAACCCCACACAUGGAUGAUCUCAGGAUGCUACACUGUUGGCACAACACAGGACUCAUAGCGUUCACCUUUUCUCCUCCGAACAAUCAAUUUUCCAGAUUUCCCAAACUGUCAGAAGUAGCUUCAACAGAGAAAAUAACUGUGCACCAAUCUUCUGCUGUCCAAUUCUUAUACUUCCAGCAGAAGUACUUUCUUGGAGAGAAAUGGCUUCUUUGCUGCAAUUUCUUGACACCAGGCCAUUGUCCAAAAGUCUUGGCAUCACUGUGCAUGCAGAUGCUCUCACACCAACCUGCUGCCAUUCCCGAGCAAGCUCUGCACUGCUGGUGACACGAUUCUGUAGCUGACUCUUCAGGAGGAGACGUACUAGUGCUUGCUGGACACUCUGGGAUGUCCCAAAACUUCUUCACUGCAGUUGAACCUCUCUCCUUGAAGUUCUCGAUGAUCCGGUAAAUAGUUCUUCCAGUUGCAAUAUUCUUUGUGGCAAUUUCCUUGCAUGUGAGGCCAUUUUGAUGCAAAGGCUGCAGGCAUUUUUUUGGAGGCAACCAUUGAUAACAAGAACACAAUUAUUGGAAUUUGCUAUUACAAUCUGUUUAUUAUGAUAGUGACUUCACCUGACUAGUACUCAUUCACACUUUCACAUGUGCUGCUGAUACGAUUAGUCAAUUAAUGUUAGCUGGUCAUUUUGUGUCAGGAUCCAAAAACUGUGUGAAAAGGUUUGGUAACACUUUAGAAUAAGGUUCCAUUAGUUAAUGUUAGUUAAUGUAUUAAUUAACAUGAACAAACAAUGAAUAAUACAUUUAUUACUGUAUUUAUUCAUCUUCGUUAAUGUUAGUUAAUGAAAAUACAGUUAUUCAUUGUUAGUUCAUGGUAAUUCACAGUGCAUUAACUAAUGUUAACAAGCACAACUUUUGAUUUAAAUAAUGCAUUAGUAAAUGUUGAAAUUAACAUGAACUAAGACUUAUAAAUGCUGUAGAAGGAUUGUUCUUGCUUAGUUCAUGUUAACCAAAGUAGUUAACUAACAUUAACUAAUGGAACCUUAUUCUAAAGUGUUACCAAAGGUUUUUUUUUUUUUUUUUGCCAAUAAUGCUUUUAGCAAUUAUUAAUAUGCAUCUGAUCACUCUACACAAAUCUAGAAAGAAUGUGAAUGAACACCACAACAGCUUAAGCAGCAAACUUUACAAAAGCCAUGACUGUAUAGUUAAUUUAUGUAAUUGAGGAUAGCAAAAUAAAAUAAACUGUGACAUAUCAUAUGAAGGUAUUUUUGGUGCUAAAAAAGUCACAAGCAAAUGUUGCAAACUUGUAUUUUUUUGUUCUCUCCCACAAACAGGACACAACAGUUACUUCUUCUCAAAUCCUUCAAUGCAGUUUGUGGAUCUUAUCAUCUGCAAAGUCGGGUGUAUUUUGGAGCCAACGUGACGGUGAUUACAUCAGCUGGUUUUAGUCUAUUGGUCAUUUCAUCUUCAACAGAGGUGGAUAGGAGUCUUUUCUUGUGAUUGCAUCGUAGUGGUACUAACAAAAUAUGAGUAAGGUGCCACCAGCUACUUUAUUAGCCAAGUUAACCACUGGUUACUGCUCUUCACUAACCAAUAGAAUGGAACGAACAAUAUAUCAAUGUCGUCACUCUCUAAAGACAAAGGAGACAGACGUUAGAUCAAAGCUAGGACAGUUUAUUGGAAGGAUGGGAAUAUCUGGCAAAUGAGAGAUGAAUGGCUGUCCAGGGAAAAGCCACAGGCACACUCAAGAGCCACCUAAUGAAGAAAGAGAGUUGGUUAUCCAAAGUAUCCACUUGACGACAUUGAGAGAAUCCUCCAAGAGGUAAGAGAAAUCAGGUUUAGUCCACACAGUUAUUCUAGGUAACACAGAUGAGACCGGACAGUGUCUUGGGGUUUGUGGCUGGCUUUUGUAGGGAGUGCGUGUUGAGUGACAGGUGCUGCAAAUUAAAAGACAGGUGAUUGUGAUCGGGGAUAAUUGGUUGUGAAAGCAGGAGGACCUGGCAAAUCCGUGACACUACUCCCCCCUCCAGGAAGGCUCAUCCACAGGGUGGAUCUGGAGACUGGGGAGGCCAUGAUGGAACUGGAGACGCGGGAGGCCAUGGCGGAACUGGCUCCGAGGCCGUGGCUCCAACCCUAGCCUCGCACUUUAUGGCUGGAUCUCUAUUGAACCCCCCCAAAAAAAUAAUACUUGGGAAAACUUAUGGGGUUGGACUCAGGGCCAGGAGCAGACACUGGAGUGAGCGGACACUGGAGCGAGCUCUUGGGCUGGAGCCGACACUGGAGCGAGCUGGGGUUCAGGAAGCCUCCCUGGGCUCGUCGGAGAAUCAGUAGCCCUCCGUGGAAUCAAAUGCAUGUGUUCAUGACCUCAAGGUUAGAUUAUUGUAAUGCUUUAUUGGGUGGUUGUUCUGCACGCUUAAUAAACAAACUCCAGCUGGUCCAAAAUGCAACAGCUAGAGUUCUUACUAGAAAAAAGGAGUAUGACCAUAUUAGCCCAGUUCUGUCAACACUGCACUGGUUCCGUGUCAAACAUUGUAUAGAUUUUAAAAUCUUGCAAAUCGCCUAUUAUGCCCUGAAUGGUUUAGAACCUCAGUAUUUGGGUGAGAUCGUAUCGCAUUAUAGUCCUCCACGUCUGCUACAAUCUCAAAACUCUGGCUAUAUAAUAUACCUAGUAUCCCAAACUAUGGAAUAAUCUACCUAACAGUGUUCGAUAGGCAGACAUACUUUGUCAGUUUAAAUUUAGAUUAAAAACCCAUCUCUUUAACCUGGUUUUCACAUAACACACUAACACAUAUCUAUAAUUCAAAUCUGUUAAAGAUUGUAAGGCUGCAUUAAUUAGGUCAACCAGAACCAGGCACAUUUCCCAUAACACCCAAUGUACUUGUUACAUCAUUAGAAGAAUGGCAUCUACGCUCAUAUUAGUUUGUUUUUUUAUUAUUCUGAGGUCACCGUAGCCACCAGAUCCAGUCAGUAUCCAGAUCAGAUGGUUACUGAAGUCACCCGGAUCCAGUAUAUACCAGCCCAGAUGGUGGAUCAGCACCUAGAGAGGACCUCGACAGCCCUGAAUAUCAGGGACAACUAGAUGAGCCCAUGGGAACCAGUCAAGUCCUCUGCACAAUCUAACUUUGUUGCAACCUAAAAUUAAACUGCUGGUUUUGAGAACGGCACUCUAUUUUCUUGUUUAAUACUGUAAAGCUGCUUUGACAUUUGAACACUGCAUUGUAAAAAGUGCUAUAUAAGUCUAUAUUAGUCUGAAAUUUGGGGUAAAUUCUUAUUAAAAACACUUAUUUUAAAUAUUUUUCUGUGUGUGUGUGCUUGCAGGUUCAUUCUGAGAAUCCACCCACCAAAUGCCAUACAGAGUGACAGAUCAGAUGGAAUUCAGGAAAGAGGGUGCAAAGAAAAAGCAUCAGCCUGAACCCCCUGUUGUGUUUCUCAUCAGAGAGCUUGUCAGCUUUGCCAUAAUUACAGAAAUUGAACACAACAAUACAAACACAUUUUUACUGUAUUUUAUGUAAAGCUUGUUUUGCCAUGCUACAGAUACAAAGUCUCCAGGGGACUGUGGUGAUGCCUUUUUUCAGCUAGUGCAUGCUAGAGAUGAAGUUUUGUUAUUUGAAAUUGUUCAACAAUUAAAAAGAAUAUUAUAAAACAAA